rnacentral:lncRNA from 1 species
AUUUGGCCGGAAAACCACGGAUCGAAGCCAAAACCACUCCGGCUGCAGUUUGGGACUUUUGCCGAUUCCCGGCGAUUCCGGCCACCUCCGGUCCCCAUUUCUUCGUCGAAGGACGUGAGGAGGAUUUCCUCGAGGAGGGUUUGGAUCGACGGCAGGCUUAGCCGUACUUUAUCACAGUGUUGCUGACCGGCAUAGGAGUGGAGGCUAGUACCACCUUUUGUCAUCCAUUCUCAGUAGGUUAUUGAUUAACCUACUUAUUGUACUAUAUUUCGAGUGUGUUCCUUAGAUUGCUCUGAAUACUUGUUGAGAGUGGAUUUAUACAUUUGUAUAAUUAUGUGUGUAAGAGAGUGGUUUAUUUUGGGAGGAAGCUGAAUGUUUUGAAUUUGUAUAAGAUGUUAAGAUUGUGGAGUUUGAUGUUUAUACUUGGAAAAUUAUGGAAUGUUGCUAGGAAGCAGGGUUUAG